rnacentral:rRNA from 1 species
AUUGAACGCUGGCGGCAUGCUUUACACAUGCAAGUCGAACGGAAACAGGCCGCAAGGUGCUGACGAGUGGCGAACGGGUGAGUAAUGCAUCGGAACGUGCCCAGUCGUGGGGGAUAACGCAGCGAAAGCUGCGCUAAUACCGUAUACGAACUAUGGAUGAAAGCGGGGGACCGUAACGCCUCGCCCGAUGGGAGCGGCCGAUGUCAGAUUAGGUAGUUGGUGGGGUACAGGCUCACCAAGCCGACGAUCUGUAGCUGGUCUGAGAGGACGACCAGCCACACUGGGACUGAGACACGGCCCAGACUCCUACGGGAGGCAGCAGUGGGGAAUUUUGGACAAUGGGCGCAAGCCUGAUCCAGCAAUGCCGCGUGCAGGAAGAAGGCCUUCGGGUUGUAAACUGCUUUUGUACGGAACGAAAAGGCUCUGGUUAAUACCUGGGGCUCAUGACGGUACCGUAAGAAUAAGCACCGGCUAACUACGUGCCAGCCGCCGCCGUAA